rnacentral:tRNA from 4 species
AGCUCUGUAGUAUAAAAAUACAUGGGAUUGCAAAUCCCAAGAAGGAGAAUAGGCUUCUCCCGGGGCUU